rnacentral:rRNA from 1 species
GAUGAACGCUGGCGGCGUGCCUAAUACAUGCAAGUCGAGCGAACGGACGAGAAGCCUGCUUCUCUGAUGUUAGCGGCGGACGGGUGAGUAACACGUGGAUAACCUACCUAUAAGACUGGGAUAACUUCGGGAAACCGGAGCUAAUACCGGAUAAUAUUUUGAACCGCAUGGUUCAAAAGUGAAAGACGGUCUUGCUGUCACUUAUAGAUGGAUCCGCGCUGCAUUAGCUAGUUGGUAAGGUAACGGCUUACCAAGGCAACGAUGCAUAGCCGACCUGAGAGGGUGAUCGGCCACACUGGAACUGAGACACGGUCCAGACUCCUACGGGAGGCAGCAGUAGGGAAUCUUCCGCAAUGGGCGAAAGCCUGACGGAGCAACGCCGCGUGAGUGAUGAAGGUCUUAGGAUCGUAAAACUCUGUUAUUAGGGAAGAACAUAUGUGUAAGUAACUGUGCACAUCUUGACGGUACCUAAUCAGAAAGCCACGGCUAACUACGUG